CCAACAGGGAUUGCCUCAGUAGCGGCGAGUGAAGCGGCAAGAGCUCAGAUUUGAAAUCUCACCUAGUGUGCGAGUUGUAAAUUGCAGGUUGGAGUCUCGGGUUAGACGUGUGUGCAAGUCCCUUGGAACAGGGUGCCACUGAGGGUGAGAGCCCCGUAGCGUGCAUGUCGACACCUGUGAGGCCCUUCUGACGAGUCGAGUUGUUUGGGAAUGCAGCUCUAAGUGGGUGGUAAAUUCCAUCUAAGGCUAAAUAUUGGCGAGAGACCGAUAGCGAACAAGUACUGUGAAGGAAAGAUGAAAAGCACUUUGAAAAGAGAGUGAAACAGCACGUGAAAUUGUUGAAAGGGAAGGGUAUUGGGCUCGACAUGGGAUUUACGCAUCGUUGCCUCUCGUGGGCGGCGCUCUGGGUUUUUCCUGGGCCAGCAUCGGUUUUCGUUGCAGGAUAAGGACAAUUGGAAUGUGGCUCCUCGGAGUGUUAUAGCCUUUUGUAGAUGCUGCGUAUGGGGACCGAGGGCUGCGGCGGACUCGUUUCGUCUCGGAUGCUGGCACAACGGCGCAAUACCGCCCGUCUUAAAACGACGGACAAAAAA
rnacentral:rRNA from 1 species